rnacentral:rRNA from 1 species
UACGAAGGGGGCUAGCGUUGCUCGGAAUUACUGGGCGUAAAGCGCGUGUAGGCGGCUAUGUAAGUCGGGCGUGAAAUCCCACGGCUCAACCGUGGAAGUGCACCCGAAACUGCGUAGCUAGAGUCCUGGAGAGGAAGGUGGAAUGCUUGGUGUAGAGGUGAAAUUCGUAGAUAUCAAGCGGAACACCGGUGGCGAAGGCGGCCUUCUGGACAGUGACUGACGCUGAGACGCGAAAGCGUGGGGAGCAAACAGG